rnacentral:rRNA from 1 species
AGAUUGAACGCUGGCGGCAUGCCUAACACAUGCAAGUCGAACGGGAGUAGCAAUACUCUAGUGGCGGACGGGUGAGGAAUACGUAGGAAUUUGCCCUUAAGUGGGGGAUAACCCGGGGAAACCCGGAUUAAUACCGCAUGACCUCGAAAGAGCAAAGUGGGGGAUCGCAAGACCUCACGCUUUUGGAGAAGCCUACGUCGGAUUAGCUAGUUGGUGAGGUAAUGGCUCACCAAGGCGACGAUCCGUAACUGGUCUGAGAGGAUGAUCAGUCACACCGGAACUGAGACACGGUCCGGACUCCUACGGGAGCAGCAGUGGGAAUAUUGGACAAGUGGGCGCAAGCCUGAUCCAGCAAUGACCGCGUGUGUGAAGAAGGCCUUCGGUUGUAAAGCUACUUUAAGGUUAGGAAGAAAAACGUCGACUACUAACACGAGUAGAGUCGUUAGACGGUACCGAC